rnacentral:piRNA from 1 species
UGGUGCUGUUCUCAUGAUGGUGAGUUUC